GGCAUGGAAAAUAUUUUUAUAAGAACCUUUCUUGCAUGAAGAAAAGGUAGGCAUAGAGAAGAGGUGGCGCAUGGGUUGGUUCAAUUCGAAUUAGAAUUCAAAUUCUUAUCCAAUUAGAUUUUUAACCCAAUCAAAUUAGGUUAGACCCAAUUAGACUAUUGAAUCUAAUCUAAUUAGAUAAUAAAUAGUUUCAAUUAAAUUUUAAUUAAAUAAAAAA
rnacentral:lncRNA from 1 species